GCCUUCGUGGUGUAGUGGUCAGCACCCUCGAUGUGUAACCGAGAGGUCCGUGGUUCGAUUCCCUGCGAAGGCA
rnacentral:tRNA from 1 species